CGUUUCGAGUAAAUAAAUUUUUAAAGAUUUUUUAACAAAAUUCAUCGUUAAAAUACAGUAUGCAAAUUUGACGAAAACAUCAUGGUUCAAUUGAGUAAUGAUAAGACACUGUUACUCCAUAAUCCAGCAGUCAAGUUUGAAUAUGACAACAACGUUAAAAAAUAUACGAAUAGGACUACGACCUCCGUCAAAAACGCAUUUUUCAUGGGUACAAAAAAUCGCCUUAGCGCAUCAUAUUUAAGUACACGUCGUACAUGAACAAAAUGAUAAAUUCACGAAUUUUGAUUCAAGCUUUGACGAAACAACAAGAGAAUCAGCCUUUCACGAAAACAAUGGCCAAAUUCUCAGCUAUAAAAGAAUUUCGCGCUGCUAGCGAUAUGGAUUCUCACGGCCUGAUUGACGAGCGGCAAUACUGUAGUGUCACUUUGAUGCAGGAGCCAAGUAUCAGUUUACAGAGUCGGGGUGCGGAAUAAAGUAGACGCUGAAAUGAGAAAAGCUCUGGUGCCCUGUCUAUAGUACGAGCUGUGUGUGAGUCUAGCGAUUCGAUCGAUGGAAAGGGUGUCGUUCAAAAGAUGAAGUAUAGGAGAGAUUCUGCAAUAGCUAGAAAGAAAUUACAAGAUUCUGUAAAUUCCUUAAAGGGAUUUAUAGAUUUAUACACCGUGUUCGGAGGAUUUUUUUUUGUAAGCUUCCACAUAAUUAGUAUCUGAUAAAUUAAAAGCGCCAAUGCAAUAUUUAUCCAUAAAAAUUGGAGCUUUCUUCAGUGAUACUGCAAAGGCCGACAGGCUGGAGGACACUCGGUUGAUAGAAAAAAACGACAAGGUGGAAGUCGAUGUCGUAUACCGUUUACGGGACAUCAACAUCAACUUCUUAUUCAAUAUCUGAGCGACAGGAAUUUGGAUCCGCCUGUCAAUAUCGAACGUGAACGUGACGAGAGUGACACUUAAUGCCAAAUUAAGCUUCGAUUAUACGACCUGCCAAGCCAAUCUGGAGUCCGCUUACACGUGGAACAUGGGCGGCUUCGAUUACAAGAUCGCAAAGGCUCUUUGGUUCUACGAAAAGGCGUUUACAGGUGCACAAUGGAACGCGGUCGACACUUCGCUAAAGGAGAAUAUGGCCAGCGUUAUCAAGACCAGAAAUUCAAAAAGUUCAAGUGAAGAGAGAAGGUGACAUGAAUGAAUAGCGUUUUUAUAAAAUCGGUACACUUAUAAUCAAUCGAGAAUCUCAAUAAAAAAUAUCUUUACUGAUGGCUAGAAGCCAUAAAAAUAUU